UGGGGAAUAUUGCACAAUGGGCGCAAGCCUGAUGCAGCCAUGCCGCGUGUGUGAAGAAGGCCUUCGGGCUGUAAAGCACUUUCAGCGAGGAGGAAGGUGGUGAGCUUAAUACGCUCAUCAAUUGACGUUACUCGCAGAAGAAGCACCGGCUAACUCCGUGCCAGCAGCCGCGGUAAUACGGAGGGUGCAAGCGUUAAUCGGAAUUACUGGGCGUAAAGCGCACGCAGGCGGUUUGUUAAGUCAGAUGUGAAAUCCCCGGGCUCAACCUGGGAACUGCAUUUGAAACUGGCAAGCUAGAGUCCCGUAGAGGGGGGUAGAAUUCCAGGUGUAGCGGUGAAAUGCGUAGAGAUCUGGAGGGAUACCGGUGGCGAAGGCGGCCCCCCUGGACGAAGACUGACGCUCAGGUGCGAAAGCGUGGGGCAGCAAACAGGAUUAGAUACCCUGGUAGUCCAGCGCUGUAAACGAUGUCGACUUUGGAGGUUGUGCCCUUGAGGCGUGGCUUCCGGAGCUAACGCGUUAAAUCGACCGCCUGGGGAGUACGGCCGCAAGGCUAAAACUCAAAUGAAUUGAC
rnacentral:rRNA from 1 species